UACGGAGGGGGCUAGCGUUGUUCGGAAUUACUGGGCGUAAAGGGCGCGUAGGCGGCGCGAUAAGUUAGGCGUGAAAGGCCCGGGCUCAACCCGGGGACUGCGCUUGAUACUGUCGCGCUGUGAGUCCGGGAGAGGGAUGGCGGAAUUCCCAGUGUAGAGGUGAAAUUCGUAGAUAUUGGGAAGGAACACCGGUGGCGAAGGCGGCCAUCUGGACCGGCACUGACGGCUGAGGCGCGAAAGCCAGGGGAGCAAACGGG
rnacentral:rRNA from 1 species